GUGAUUUCUUCAUAAUAAUUUCAAGAAGGAAAGUGCCAUGUGUACUCUUCAAAAUAAAGCAAUAAAAAGUGUAUGUCACCGACCUUUCAAAAAAGUUAUGAGUAAUUUUCAUGUUUUUUUCUCGUUCAUUUUGAAGAAAAGAGUUGUCUUUCUUCAGAACAUUGCACCUGACGUCAUAGUACAAACUUUCCUUGCUGGCGCACUAUUUAAAAAAAAUCGCAAAUUGGACGUUUGAAACCCACAUUUAAAUUUCCAAGAAUGACAACUAUAUUCACCUACUUAAUUAUUAUCCGGUAAUACAAGAGAUUAAAUGCAUGUGUCAGUAUCAGAUCUUACGAUGUUGCCGAACAAUAUUAACCUUCAGAAACACCAUCCGUCGGAAUGGAAAAUUGUUUAAAAUAACCUUUCACGCCGC
rnacentral:lncRNA from 1 species